rnacentral:rRNA from 1 species
CUGGCGGCGUGCCUAAUACAUGCAAGUCGAACGAACUCUGGUAUUGAUUGGUGCUUGCAUCAUGAUUUACAUUUGAGUGAGUGGCGAACUGGUGAGUAACACGUGGGAAACCUGCCCAGAAGCGGGGGAUAACACCUGGAAACAGAUGCUAAUACCGCAUAACAACUUGGACCGCAUGGUCCGAGUUUGAAAGAUGGCUUCGGCUAUCACUUUUGGAUGGUCCCGCGGCGUAUUAGCUAGAUGGUGRGGUAACGGCUCACCAUGGCAAUGAUACGUAGCCGACCUGAGAGGGUAAUCGGCCACAUUGGGACUGAGACACGGCCCAAACUCCUACGGGAGGCAGCAGUAGGGAAUCUUCCACAAUGGACGAAAGUCUGAUGGAGCAACGCCGCGUGAGUGAAGAAGGGUUUCGGCUCGUAAAACUCUGUUGUUAAAGAAGAACAUAUCUGAGAGUAACUGUUCAGGUAUUGACGGUAUUUAACCAGAAAGCCACGGCUAACUACGUGCCAGCAGCCGCGGUAAUACGUAGGUGGCAAGCGUUGUCCGGAUUUAUUGGGCGUAAAGCGAGCGCAGGCGGUUUUUUAAGUCUGAUGUGAAAGCCUUCGGCUCAACCGAAGAAGUGCAUCGGAAACUGGGAAACUUGAGUGCAGAAGAGGACAGUGGAACUCCAUGUGUAGCGGUGAAAUGCGUAGAUAUAUGGAAGAACACCAGUGGCGAAGGCGGCUGUCUGGUCUGUAACUGACGCUGAGGCUCGAAAGUAUGGGUAGCAAACAGGAUUAGAUACCCUGGUAGUCCAUACCGUAAACGAUGAAUGCUAAGUGUUGGAGGGUUUCCGCCCUUCAGUGCUGCAGCUAACGCAUUAAGCAUUCCGCCUGGGGAGUACGGCCGCAAGGCUGAAACUCAAAGGAAUUGACGGGGGCCCGCACAAGCGGUGGAGCAUGUGGUUUAAUUCGAAGCUACGCGAAGAACCUUACCAGGUCUUGACAUACUAUGCAAAUCUAAGAGAUUAGACGUUCCCUUCGGGGACAUGGAUACAGGUGGUGCAUGGUUGUCGUCAGCUCGUGUCGUGAGAUGUUGGGUUAAGUCCCGCAACGAGCGCAACCCUUAUUAUCAGUUGCCAGCAUUAAGUUGGGCACUCUGGUGAGACUGCCGGUGACAAACCGGAGGAAGGUGGGGAUGACGUCAAAUCAUCAUGCCCCUUAUGACCUGGGCUACACACGUGCUACAAUGGAUGGUACAACGAGUUGCGAACUCGCGAGAGUAAGCUAAUCUCUUAAAGCCAUUCUCAGUUCGGAUUGUAGGCUGCAACUCGCCUACAUGAAGUCGGAAUCGCUAGUAAUCGCGGAUCAGCAUGCCGCGGUGAAUACGUUCCCGGGCCUUGUACACACCGCCCGUCACACCAUGAGAGUUUGUAACACCCAAAGUYGGUGGGGUAACCUUUUAGGAACCAGCCGCCUAAGGU